rnacentral:rRNA from 1 species
AGAUUAAACUGAAGAGUUUGAUCCUGGCUCAGAUUGAACGCUAGCGGCAUGCCUUACACAUGCAAGUCGAACGGCAGCGCGGACUUCGGUCUGGCGGCGAGUGGCGAACGGGUGAGUAAUGCAUCGGAACGUGCCCAGUAGCGGGGGAUAACUACGCGAAAGCGUAGCUAAUACCGCAUACGCCCUACGGGGGAAAGGGGGGGAUCGCAAGACCUCUCACUAUUGGAGCGGCCGAUGUCGGAUUAGCUAGUUGGUGGGGUAAAGGCCUACCAAGGCAACGAUCCGUAGCUGGUUUGAGAGGACGACCAGCCACACUGGGACUGAGACACGGCCCAGACUCCUACGGGAGGCAGCAGUGGGGAAUUUUGGACAAUGGGGGCAACCCUGAUCCAGCCAUGCCGCGUGUGCGAAGAAGGCCUUCGGGUUGUAAAGCACUUUUGGCAGGAAAGAAACGGCGCCGGAUAAUACCUGGCGUAACUGACGGUACCUGCAGAAUAAGCACCGGCUAACUACGUGCCAGCAGCCGCGGUAAUACGUAGGGUGCAAGCGUUAAUCGGAAUUACUGGGCGUAAAGCGUGCGCAGGCGGUUCGGAAAGAAAGAUGUGAAAUCCCAGGGCUCAACCUUGGAACUGCAUUUUUAACUCCCGAACUAGAGUGUGUCAGAGGGGGGUGGAAUUCCACGUGUAGCAGUGAAAUGCGUAGAUAUGUGGAGGAACACCGAUGGCGAAGGCAGCCCCCUGGGAUAACACUGACGCUCAUGCACGAAAGCGUGGGGAGCAAACAGGAUUAGAUACCCUGGUAGUCCACGCCCUAAACGAUGUCAACUAGCUGUUGGGUUCUUCGGAGCUUGGUAGCGCAGCUAACGCGUGAAGUUGACCGCCUGGGGAGUACGGUCGCAAGAUUAAAACUCAAAGGAAUUGACGGGGACCCGCACAAGCGGUGGAUGAUGUGGAUUAAUUCGAUGCAACGCGAAAAACCUUACCUACCCUUGACAUGUCUGGAAUCCUGAAGAGAUUUAGGAGUGCUCGAAAGAGAACCGGAACACAGGUGCUGCAUGGCCGUCGUCAGCUCGUGUCGUGAGAUGUUGGGUUAAGUCCCGCAACGAGCGCAACCCUUGUCAUUAGUUGCUACGAAAGGGCACUCUAAUGAGACUGCCGGUGACAAACCGGAGGAAGGUGGGGAUGACGUCAGGUCCUCAUGGCCCUUAUGGGUAGGGCUUCACACGUCAUACAAUGGUCGGGACAGAGGGCAGCCAACCCGCGAGGGGGAGCCAAUCCCAGAAACCCGAUCGUAGUCCGGAUUGCAGUCUGCAACUCGACUGCAUGAAGUCGGAAUCGCUAGUAAUCGCGGAUCAGCAUGUCGCGGUGAAUACGUUCCCGGGUCUUGUACACACCGCCCGUCACACCAUGGGAGUGGGUUCUACCAGAAGUAGGUAGCCUAACCGUAAGGAGGGCGCUUACCACGGUAGGGUUCAUGACUGGGGUGAAGUCGUAACAAGGUAGCCGUAUCGGAAGGUGCGGCUGGAUCACCUCCUUUC